UACGAAGGGUGCAAGCGUUACUCGGAAUUACUGGGCGUAAAGCGUGCGUAGGUGGUGAGUUAAGUCUGAUGUGAAAUCCCCGGGCUCAACCUGGGAAUGGCAUUGGAUACUGGCUCGCUAGAGUGCGGUAGAGGGUGGUGGAAUUCCCGGUGUAGCAGUGAAAUGCGUAGAGAUCGGGAGGAACAUCUGUUGCUAAGGCGGCCACCUGGACCAACACUGACACUGAGGCACGAAAGCGUGGGGAGCAAACAGG
rnacentral:rRNA from 1 species